rnacentral:rRNA from 1 species
UACAUAGGGGGCGAGCGUUAUCCGGAAUUAUUGGGCGUAAAGCGUGCGUAGGUGGUCAGUUAAGUCUGGCGUGAAAUUCCCUGGCUUAACCAGGGGGGGUCGUUGGAAACUGGCUGACUUGAAUCCAGAAGGGGUAAGUGGAAUUCCAUGUGUAGCGGUAAAAUGCAUAGAGAUAUGGAGGAACACCAGUGGCGAAGGCGGCUUACUGGUCUGGAAUUGACACUGAGGCACGAAAGCGUGGGUAGCAAACAGG